rnacentral:tRNA from 7 species
GUGGGCUUGGUGCAGCGGUAGAGUCUACCAUCUGUAAUUGGAAGGUCCCGGGAUCGAGCCCCAGCCUCUGCA